rnacentral:rRNA from 1 species
GGAAUCUUGCGCAAUGGGGGAAACCCUGACGCAGCGACACCGCGUGCGGGAGGAAGGCUUUCGGGUCGUAAACCGCUUUUCUGUGGGACGAGUAAGGACGGUACCACAGGAAUAAGUCCCGGCUAACUACGUUCCAGCAGCCGCGGUAAAACGUAGGGGGCGAGCGUUAUCCGGAAUCACUGGGCGUAAAGGGCGUCUAGGCGGCCCGGCAAGUCUUGUGUGAAAUCUCCCGGCUCAACUGGGAGGGUGCAUGAGAAACUGCAGGGCUUGAGACUCGAAGGGGGAUGCGGAAUUCCCGGUGGAGCGGUGAAAUGCGUUGAUAUCGGGAGGAACACCUGAGGCGAAGGCGGCAUCCUGGUCGGGAUCUGACGCUGAAGCGCGAGAGCGUGGGGAGCGAA